rnacentral:rRNA from 1 species
GACGAACGCUGGCGGCGCGCCUAACACAUGCAAGUCGAACGAGCGAGAGAGAGCUUGCUUUCUCGAGCGAGUGGCGACCGGGUGAGUAACGCGUGAGGAACCUGCCUCAAAGAGGGGGACAACAGUUGGAAAUAGGUGCUAAUACCGCAUAAGCGCACAGUAUCGCAUGAUACGGUGUGAAAAACUCCGGUGGUAUAAGAUGGACCCGCGUCUGAUUAGCUUGUUGGCGGGGUAACGGCCCACCAAGGCGACGAUCAGUAGCCGGCCUGAGAGGGUGAACGGCCACAUUGGGACUGAGACACGGCCCAA